CUGUUGACCAGUUGCUGUGAAAGUUGAAAGGCUCCAGCUGCACCCUAAACCAUACAUGCAACAAGAAAACAGCAAAAAGAGAAGCGUGCUUCUGUCACAGAUUUCAGGGAGAAAGUGCUUUUGGCAAUUAAUUGAAAAGACGCUGGGCACCAUAGGAAACAUGGCUUAAUAACAAUCAAAAAUAAAAAAAACUCAAGAAGAAACUUAACACUCCAUAAAACAAACAGGGCAAAAACCUAGAACACUACUAACAACUUUCCAAAAGGAAACUGGCAAUAAAGAUAUCAGUUCGUA